GGCCUCAGUUAGAAAGCCAAGUGAAAGGGCAGCCUCUGGGCAAAUAGAUCUGGACCUUACCAGGAUCUUCCUGGAACAGAACUGUCCCCCUCCUGCUUACCUGUUAUCGCGGCGGUCUUUCUGCCCCCAUAGCAGAGGUUGCUGUUGUCCAGGCGCUUUGCCACAGCCACAGAAAAGAGACCAACACGCCCAUCAACCACAGAAGUCACAGCAAAGCGACUGAGACUUCCAGCCUAGGACCCGACAUCCUGCUUCUGUUAUUCCACGUCCUUGUCCUUCCUACAAGAAUCUCAUCACCCUAGAACUACCUGGUACCAUCACACAUAGAGGAUUGUCUCCUGGAUGCUGAGGCUCCAAAGCUCAUGCUGAGAUGGAAUUGCCUUGUAAGAGAUCAGUGCCUUGCUCAGCCGUCAUCAGAGAAGCUUCCUCCUGCAGCAGAUGGGAACAAAUGCACAGACCCACAACCAAACAUUACACAGACAGUGAGAGUCCUUGGAACACUCAACCCUAAAUGAGAUGUCUCUAUCAGAUCCCUCUCCUCAGAGCUCAGGGAACCCUGCAGAAGAGGAGGUGGAAAGAGUGUCCUUUGCUUAUAUAUCAUGGCUUCCACUUCAGAGCUUUAAUGUGAUUCCCGAGUGU